GAUACACAUAUCUCUUCUAAAUUUAAAACAAUACAUUAUUGCAACAUCAAGCACAACACAUCAUUAUUUACAACAAUAUAGUAUACAUCCAAACAAAGUCCUACGCCAGUCAAACCUGAUCCUCAUAACCAAAGCAAUAGACACGACCAACAACACAGGUGGAAUGCACCCCCGGUUGGAUUGGAGGAGUCACCGUGGACGUGGCCUAAGGGUCAAAGCGCAUCAUCAAAGGAACUCAUUAAACCAGUCUUCUUUACUCCAAAACUAUUUGGCCACUCUGUAUGCCGUCUUUAUGCCGUC
rnacentral:lncRNA from 1 species